UUUAUACUCCCUCCGUCUCAAAAAAUUUGUCUUACCAUUGUUCAAAAAUGGAUGUAUCAAACUACUAAAAUAUGACUAGAUACAUUCAUAUCUAAAUAAAUCUAAGACAANAAUUUUGGGACGGAGGGAGUAGAUG
rfam:Hordeum vulgare subsp. vulgare, WGS project CAJW01000000 data, contig: morex_contig_44555